rnacentral:misc_RNA from 1 species
GAACGCACCUUGCACCCUUUGGCAUUCCGAAGGGUAUGCUCGUUUGAGUGUCAUUGUACUCUCACACUCUCUGAUCCUUUGGGAUUCGGGGAGCGGUGGACUUGGGUGUUUGCUGCUUUCCUUGUGGCUCACCUCAAAUGCGUCAGUGCACCUCUUGGUUGGACAUAGUACGGCGUGAUAAGUGUCUUCGCCGGCACCUCGCAAGAGGGUGGUCAAUUGGGAGCUCUGUGCUUUCAAACCGUCUUCGGACAAUAUCUGACAACUUGACCUCAAAUCGAGUAGGACUACCCGCUGAACUUAAG